GAUGAAGAACGUAGCGAAAUGCGAUAAGUAGUGUGAAUUGCAGAAUUCAGUGAAUCAUCGAAUCUUUGAACGCACAUUGCGGCCAUAGGUAUGCCUUUGGCCAUGCCUGUUCGAGCGUCAUUUACACCCUCAAGCCUAGCUUGGUGUUGGGCGUCUGUCCCGCCGUUUUCGCGCGCGGACUCGCCUCAAAGUCAUUGGCGGCGGUCGUGCCGGCCCCCUCGCGCAGCACAUUUGCGCUUCUCGGAGGCCCGGCGGAUCCGCGCUCCAGCAAGACCUUUCACGACUUGACCUCGGAUCAGGUAGGGAUACCCGCUGAACUUAAGCAUAUCAAUAAGCGGAGGA
rnacentral:misc_RNA from 1 species